rnacentral:rRNA from 1 species
AUGGCAUUUACUGAUAGCAGGGAAUUCAAGCAAGCAUUGGUUAAGUAUGGGCUAGCAACUUUCCACCAUUUAAGAUUUCCAAAAGAUGAGAAGAAAAGGGUGAGUGCCGAGUGUUCCUGGCCUGGUUGUCCUUGGAGCAUAUAUGGUUCAAUUAGUAACAGGUCAGACUGGUUGCUAAUUGUGAGGUAUAAUAAUGAGCACACGUGCAUUCCUAGGAGGGACAAUAAGCUUGUCACAAGCACAAUCAUUGCAAAGAAGUAUUUCAGAGAGAUAAGACACAAUCCAACUUGGCAUGUAGAGCAUAUGCAGGAGGCAGUACUUGAGGAUCUUCUAGCUGGUGUUAGUCUUUCCAAGUGCAAGAGAGCAAAGAAGCUAGUCAUGGAAAAGCUCACUGAUUUGGCAAAUGGUAAAUAUUCUCGAGUCUUUGACUACCACUUAGAGCUAGUUUGA